GCGUGCCUAAUACAUGCAAGUAGAACGCUGAAGAGAGGAUUUUGCUCUUCUUGGAUGAGUUGCGAACGGGUGAGUAACGCGUAGGUAACCUGCCUUGUAGCGGGGGAUAACUAUUGGAAACGAUAGCUAAUACCGCAUAACAAUGGAUGACACAUGUCAUUUAUUUGAAAGGGGCAAUUGCUCCACUACAAGAUGGACCUGCGUUGUAUUAGCUAGUAGGUGAGGUAACGGCUCACCUAGGCGACGAUACAUAGCCGACCUGAGAGGGUGAUCGGCCACACUGGGACUGAGACACGGCCCAGACUCCUACGGGAGGCAGCAGUAGGGAAUCUUCGGCAAUGGGGGCAACCCUGACCGAGCAACGCCGCGUGAGUGAAGAAGGUUUUCGGAUCGUAAAGCUCUGUUGUAAGUCAAGAACGAGUGUGAGAGUGGAAAGUUCACACUGUGACGGUAGCUUACCAGAAAGGGACGGCUAACUACGUGCCAGCAGCCGCGGUAAUACGUAGGUCCCGAGCGUUGUCCGGAUUUAUUGGGCGUAAAGCGAGCGCAGGCGGUUUGAUAAGUCUGAAGUUAGAGGCUGUGGCUCAACCAUAGUUCGCUUUGGAAACUGUCAAACUUGAGUGCAGAAGGGGAGAGUGGAAUUCCAUGUGUAGCGGUGAAAUGCGUAGAUAUAUGGAGGAACACCGGUGGCGAAAGCGGCUCUCUGGUCUGUAACUGACGCUGAGGCUCGAAAGCGUGGGGAGCGAACAGGAUUAGAUACCCUGGUAGUCCACGCCGUAAACGAUGAGUGCUAGGUGUUGGAUCCUUUCCGGGAUUCAGUGCCGCAGCUAACGCAUUAAGCACUCCGCCUGGGGAGUACGACCGCAAGGUUGAAACUCAAAGGAAUUGACGGGGGCCCGCACAAGCGGUGGAGCAUGUGGUUUAAUUCGAAGCAACGCGAAGAACCUUACCAGGUCUUGACAUCCCGAUGCUAUUUCUAGAGAUAGGAAGUUACUUCGGUACAUCGGUGACAGGUGGUGCAUGGUUGUCGUCAGCUCGUGUCGUGAGAUGUUGGGUUAAGUCCCGCAACGAGCGCAACCCCUAUUGUUAGUUGCCAUCAUUCAGUUGGGCACUCUAGCGAGACUGCCGGUAAUAAACCGGAGGAAGGUGGGGAUGACGUCAAAUCAUCAUGCCCCUUAUGACCUGGGCUACACACGUGCUACAAUGGUUGGUACAACGAGUUGCGAGUCGGUGACGGCAAGCUAAUCUCUUAAAGCCAAUCUCAGUUCGGAUUGUAGGCUGCAACUCGCCUACAUGAAGUCGGAAUCGCUAGUAAUCGUGGAUCAGCACGCCGCGGUGAAUACGUUCCCGGGCCUUGUACACACCGCCCGUCACACCACGAGAGUUUGUAACACCCGAAGUCGGUGAGGUAACCUUUUGGAGCCAGCCGCCUAAGGUGGGAUAGAUGAUUG
rnacentral:rRNA from 1 species